rnacentral:rRNA from 1 species
GACGAACGCUGGCGGCGUGCUUAACACAUGCAAGUCGAACGGAAAGGCCUCUUUCGGGGGGUACUCGAGUGGCGAACGGGUGAGUAGCACGUGAGUAACCUGCCCUUGACUUUGGGAUAACUUCAGGAAACUGGGGCUAAUACCGGAUAGGAGCUCCUGCUGCAUGGUGGGGGUUGGAAAGUUUCGGCGGUUGGGGAUGGACUCGCGGCUUAUCAGCUUGUUGGUGGGGUAGUGGCUUACCAAGGCUUUGACGGGUAGCCGGCCUGAGAGGGUGACCGGCCACAUUGGGACUGGGAUACGGCCCAGACUCCUACGGGAGGCAGCAGUGGGGAAUAUUGCACAAUGGGUGGAAGCCUGAUGCAGCAACGCCGUGUGCGGGAUGACGGCCUUCGGGUUGUAAACCGCUUUCGCUCAUGACGAAGCUUUGUGUGACGGUAGUGGGUAAAGAAGCACCGGCUAACUACGUG